rnacentral:rRNA from 1 species
CCUCCUUUUUCCCGCUUUCCUCGGAAUUACUGGGCGUAAAGGGUGCGUAGGUGGUUUUUUAAGUCUGCUGUGAAAUCCCCGGGCUCAACCUGGGAAUGGCAGUGGAUACUGGAAAGCUGGAGUGCGGUAGAGGGUAGUGGAAUUCCCGGUGUAGCAGUGAAAUGCGUAGAGAUCGGGAGGAACACCAGUGGCGAAGGCGGCUACCUGGACCAGCACUGA